rnacentral:rRNA from 1 species
UACGUAGGGGGCAAGCGUUGUUCGGAAUUACUGGGCGUAAAGGGCGCGUAGGCGGCGCCACAAGUCACUUGUGAAAACUCUGGGCUCAACUCAGAGCCUGCAAGCGAAACUGUGGUGCUGGAGUAUGGGAGAGGUGCGUGGAAUUUACGGUGUAGCGGUGAAAUGCGUAGAUAUCGUAAGGAAGACCAGUGGCGAAGGCGGGUCUCUGGACAGUUCCUGACGCUGAGGCACGAAGGCCAGGGGAGCAAACGGG